AAGUAAUGAGUAUUCAGCUUUAUCCUAGACUACACUACAUAAGGUCUUAUACUUUUGUUGAGACUACAAAAACAGCAAGGCGUUAAUAAUAGCGGUUUUUGUAAUUAAAUAAAACUGCGGCGUUUAGGAUUGUUUUCAGAAACGGCACCCAGUGUGGAGAGAUGGCGAGAUUUGUGAGGCUAAUGGUGAAACUGGGUUAUAAUGCACGCAAGUUGUUCGACUGAAAGCUGCUGAGAAACCGUUUUACUCUCUGAAUCUAGUGAGACGCGAAAGUCUGAAUCUUUUUGCUUUGGGUAUUGAGAAGCUGGUCUCCUGUGUUUGGGGGAAGGCUUUUUUUUAAAUGGAUAGGAGUAAACGACGGUGAAUACAAUGGACAAUCCAGUUGUCUUGGAGGCUGUCUGUUAAGUGGUUUCUUUGUUAUGAUACAAAGUCGGAAGCUAGUAAAGAAAGAAUCUGUUAUAAUCAUGCCAACCUUUGGAAUCCAACUUGAAACUCAAUAUUUAAG